rnacentral:tRNA from 1 species
GGGCGCGUAGUUCAGCGGGAGAACGCUCGCCUCACACGCGAGAGGUCGCUGGUUCAAUCCCAGCCGCGCCCACCA